AUUGAACGCUGGCGGCAGGCCUAACACAUGCAAAUCGAGCGGGGUCUUCGGACCUAGCGGCGGACGGGUGAGUAAUGCGUAGGAAGCUGCCCGAUAGAGGGGGAUACCAGUUGGAAACGACUGUUAAUACCGCAUAAUGUCUACGGACCAAAGUGUGGACCUUCGGGCCACAUGCUAUCGGAUGCGCCUACGUGGGAUUAGCUAGUUGGUGAGGUAAUGGCUCACCAAGGCGACGAUCUCUAGCUGGUUUGAGAGGAUGAUCAGCCACACUGGAACUGAGACACGGUCCAGACUCCUACGGGAGGCAGCAGUGGGGAAUAUUGGACAAUGGGCGCAAGCCUGAUCCAGCCAUGCCGCGUGUGUGAAGAAGGCCUUCGGGUUGUAAAGCACUUUCAGCGAGGAGGAAGGGGUGUGUGUUAAUAGUACACACCUUUGACGUUACUCGCAGAAGAAGCACCGGCUAACUCUGUGCCAGCCGCCGCCGUAACAC
rnacentral:rRNA from 1 species